UACGGGGGGGGUAAGCGUUGUUCGGAAUUACUGGGCGUAAAGGGCUCGUAGGCGGCCAACUAAGUCAGACGUGAAAUCCCUCAGCUUAACUGGGGAACUGCGUCCGAUACUGGAGGGCUUGAGUGUGGGAGAGGGAUGCGGAAUUCCAGGUGUAGCGGUGAAAUGCGUAGAUAUCUGGAGGAACACCGGUGGCGAAGGCGGGUCUCUGGGCAUUUCCUGACGCUGAGGCGCGAAAGCGUGGGGAGCAAACGGG
rnacentral:rRNA from 1 species